AACCUAGCACACCUGCGGUGUGUACCUGCGGAAGGAUCAUUACAGAGUUAUCCAACUCCCAAACCCAUGUGAACUUAUCUCUUUGUUGCCUCGGCGCAAGCUACCCGGGACCCCGCGCCCCGGGCGGCCCGCCGGCGGACAAACCAAAACUCUUGUUAUCUUAGUUGAUUCUCUGAGCGUCUUAUUUAAUAAGUCAAAACUUUCAACAACGGAUCU
rnacentral:misc_RNA from 1 species